rnacentral:rRNA from 1 species
UACGUAGGGAGCAAGCGUUGUCCGGAAUCAUUGGGCGUAAAGCGCGCGUAGGCGGCCCCGUAAGUCCGCUGUGAAAGUCAAAGGCUCAACCUUUGAAAGCCGGUGGAUACUGUGGGGCUAGAGCCCGGAAGAGGCGAGUGGAAUUCCUGGUGUAGCGGUGGAAUGCGCAGAUAUCAGGAGGAACACCAAUAGCGAAGGCAGCUCGCUGGGACGGUACUGACGCUAAGGCGCGAAGCGUGG